rnacentral:rRNA from 1 species
CGUGUAGGCGGUUGGGCAAGUCAGAUGUGAAAGCCUUCCGCUCAACGGAAGAAGGGCAUUUGAAACUACCCGGCUGGAGUACGGGAGAGGAGAGUGGAAUUCCCGGUGUAGAGGUGAAAUUCGUAGAUAUCGGGAGGAACACCAGUGGCGAAGGCGGCUCUCUGGUCCGAUACUGACGCUGAGACGCGAAAGCGUGGGGAGCAAACAGGAUUAGAUACCCUGGUAGUCCACGCCGUAAACGAUGGGCACUAGGUGUAGGAGGUAUUGACCCCUUCUGUGCCGAAGCUAACGCAUUAAGUGCCCCGCCUGGGGAGUACGGCCGCAAGGCUAAA